UACGUAGGGCGCAAGCGUUGUCCGGAAUUAUUGGGCGUAAAGAGCUCGUAGGCGGUCUGUCGCGUCUGCCGUGAAAACCCGAGGCUUAACCUCGGGCCUGCGGUGGAUACGGGCAGACUAGAGGUAGGUAGGGGAGAAUGGAAUUCCCGGUGUAGCGGUGAAAUGCGCAGAUAUCGGGAGGAACACCGGUGGCGAAGGCAGGUCUCUGGGCAUUAACUGACGCUGAGGAGCGAAAGCAUGGGGAGCGAACAGG
rnacentral:rRNA from 1 species